GAUAGAAAUAGAGAGGCGAUGAGAUUGGAGAAAGAAAUAGAGAAAAAGGCAGAGUUAGAGACAUAUCAGGCCAGUACCGCCGUCGGGCUUUGACCACCAAAAUUCUUGCUUCCCUAAACCGGCGAUGCACUGUUACUGAGUUUUCUUUUUUUUGCUUUCUUUGUAUUUUGAUUUGUUUAUUUAUUUAUUUAUAUAAAUUUUUAUAAGUAAAAACCUAAAUCUAGCGAUUGAUUUAUGUUUACUGCAAUUUGGGUCGCUCUCCAAACUUAGACCGCCGGAACUGCAAGCACACAGAAAGAAACCUUUAUGCCAUACAUCCGCCACCCAGAUUGUCGAAAUCGGCUUUGGAUAGAGAGCCCAAUCAAGGAUAAAGAGAAAAGGAUAGAAACAGAGACCAACUCCCCUCCUUCUAUACAAUCAGACCAUCGUAACCACAGGCACACAAAGAUCCACCCAAAUCUUCUGCCAUCAUCGUAAGCCUCCACUCACUAUCCGACUGUCGGAAUCGCUAUUGAUUUGGUUUUGAUUAAGGAAUAUGAAGAUAGAGGAUCCAAGUCGAGUUCGUAGGCGCCAAGAGAGAGAAGAAAUAUUUAAGGCCAACCAUUGUCCGUUCUCUCGCCAAACUUGGGCCACCGGAAUCGCAGGCAAGAAAAAACUAUGGACCAUCAACACUGUUAGGCCAUAUAUCUACCACCUAGAUCGUCGGAAUUGGAACCGGUCUUUCUACACAGAGAGUUCGUAAGGCACAGAUAGAGUCCCUAAGGCGCAGAGAGACAGGCCGUAUACCUCGGCUUAGGACAGGUGUAUGUUAGGCAACAUCAACAAUAACAGCUACAGCAGCAAGUCAACUUCAGCAGCAACAUCACAGGUGUUGCUUCAGCAGCAACAUUACAGGUGUUGCUUGAUGACUCUUAACAUAUUCAAUUUUUGUUAAGUAAUAAAAUAGUUUACUAUAUUUUAAUAUACAAGUUACAAGGAAAGUUUUGAUGCACGGAUUAAAUAUGAUCUGUCAUGAUUUAUUAUUGCAUAACAUUCUCCUUGAGUUUGGCAAUGAUUUGAUUUGAUGCAAUGAUUUUCCAUGUUCGGGUUUUUACGAGAAUGAGACUGAUUUUCAGGAUUUAUGAUGGCUGAACCAACGCUCAUGAUUGGUGGCAAUAAUGCUCAACUUAAGUUGCUGCAUAACUCAUGUUGGUGCUGCUGCUAGAGGCUUAAGUAGCUGCAUAAUUGCUGGUGGUGGUGUUGCUUAAAGUCAAAUUCUUUUUUUAGAAACUAUAUGCUUAAAUAUACUACAUUAUUUAGGUUUGAAUGUAUGGAGUGGAAUUAUGAUAACUAAGUUUAUGUAGGAUGCAAAGUUCAUAACUAA